rnacentral:pre_miRNA from 1 species
GCAUAUUUCGGGUUUGUGCGUGAAUCUAAUGUCAAAUCACACACCUGGGUUUUCAGGGAUAUGGCAGUUAAUUUGGGGUGUAUUUAUUUGUUAGAUUCACGCAUAAACUCGUAAUAUGUCU